rnacentral:rRNA from 1 species
UACGAAGGGGGCUAGCGUUGUUCGGAUUUACUGGGCGUAAAGCGCACGUAGGCGGAUCGUUAAGUCGGGGGUGAAAUCCUGGAGCUCAACUCCAGAACUGCCUUCGAUACUGGCGAUCUUGAGUCCGGAAGAGGUGAGUGGAACUCCUAGUGUAGAGGUGGAAUUCGUAGAUAUUAGGAAGAACACCAGUGGCGAAGGCGGCUCACUGGGUCCGGUACUGACGCUGAGGUGCGAAAGCGUGGGGGAGCAAACAGG